AAUACUGCGGUGAAUACGUUCCCGGGUCUUGUACACACCGCCCGUCAAACCAUGAAAGUCACCAACACCCGAAGUCCGAUUCGUCGGCCUAAGGUGGGGGGAUAAUUGGGUU
rnacentral:rRNA from 1 species